rnacentral:rRNA from 1 species
CGCCUCCUGCAGCAUAAAGUAUAGGAGGUCCAGCCUGCCCAGUGACUACGGGUUCAACGGCCGCGGUAUAUUGACCGUGCAAAGGUAGCGCAAUCACUUGUCUUUUAAAUAGAGACCUGUAUGAAUGGCUAGACGAGGGCUUAACUGUCUCCCCCCUCCAGUCAGUGAAAUUGAUCUAUCCGUGCAGAAGCGGGUAUAGUACUACAAGACGAGAAGACCCUUUGGAGCUUAAGGUACAGAAUUCAGCCACGUUAAGCAACUCCAUAAACAGCAAGAACUUAGUGGUCAUGAAAUUUUACCUUCGGUUGGGGCGACCGCGGAGGAAAAGCAAGCCUCCGAGUGGACUGGGCCGAGACCCUAAAGCCAAGAGAAACAUCUUCAAGCCGCAGAACAUCUGACCAAUAAUGAUCCGGCUAAAAAGCCGAUCAACGGACCAAGUUACCCUAGGGAUAACAGCGCAAUCCUCUCCCAGAGCCCAUAUCGACGAGGGGGUUUACGACCUCGAUGUUGGAUCAGGACAUCCUGGUGGUGCAGCCGCUAUUAAGGGUUCGUUUGUUCAACGAUUAAAGUCCU